UGCUCUUAUGAAGUUAGCGGCGGACGGGUGAGUAACACGUGGGUAACCUGCCCAUAAGACUGGGAUAACUCCGGGAAACCGGGGCUAAUACCGGAUAACAUUUUGAACCGCAUGGUUCGAAAUUGAAAGGCGGCUUCGGCUGUCACUUAUGGAUGGACCCGCGUCGCAUUAGCUAGUUGGUGAGGUGACGGCUCACCAAGGCAACGAUGCGUAGCCGACCUGAGAGGGUGAUCGGCCACACUGGGACUGAGACACGGCCCAGACUCCUACGGGAGGCAGCAGUAGGGAAUCUUCCGCAAUGGACGAAAGUCUGACGGAGCAACGCCGCGUGAAGUGAUGAAGGCUUUCGGGUCGUAAAACUCUGUUGUUAGGGAAGAACAAGUGCUAGUUGAAUAAGCUGGCACCUUGACGGUACCUAACCAGAAAGCCACGGCUAACUACGUGCCAGCAGCCGCGGUAAUACGUAGGUGGCAAGCGUUAUCCGGAAUUAUUGGGCGUAAAGCGGCGCGCAGGUGGUUUCUUCAAGUCUGAUGUGAAAGCCCACGGCUCAAUCCGUGGGAGGGUCAUUGGAAACUGGGAGACUUGAGUGCAGAAGAGGAAAGUGCAAUUCCAUGUGUACGCGGUGAAAUGCGUAGAGAUAUGGAGGAACACCAGUGGCGAAGGCGACUUUCUGGUCUGUAACUGACCACUGAGGCGCGAAAGCGUGGGGAAGCAAACAGGAUUAGAUACCCUGGUAGUCCACGCCGUAAACGAUGAAGUGCUAAGUGUUAGAAGGCUUUCUGCCCUUUAGUGCUGAAGUUUACCGCAUUUAGCACUCCGCCUGGGGAGUACGGCCGGCGAGGCUUGAAACUCAAAAGUAAUUGAACGGGGGCCCGCCCCCAUCUGUGGCACCAUGAUGUUUGAAUUCGAAUCCACCCCGUAGGAACUUUACCCGGGUCUUGACAUCCUC
rnacentral:rRNA from 2 species